GGAACGUGUCUGACCACCAGAACAUACGUAUUAAACCUCGUUGACUCAUCAGUAGGAUAUAUUUGUUUUUCUAUUGCUCCAGUCAACAACACUCGAGCCAUAAACAUUUCCUAACGUUGUCGUACAGAUAUAAAAACGUGUCUAUGAGAUCUAUAGAUACACAAGAACAAUAGAAACAACAUUGAAUGUAAAACUAAGACUACGUUUUCCCAUAAGGGCUGAUGAUAAACAUAUUGUGUGCAGUGAAACAUGUUCAUGGAAUAGGCCUGUUUCCAGUACUAACAGUUUGCGUACUAAAUUAACUUUUACUUGGUUACCAGAGGUUCCCCAGAAACCUUCUGUGCUUUACUUGGUUACCAGAGGUUCCCCAGAAACCUUCUGUGCUUUACUUGGUUACCAGAGGUUCUCCAGAGUCUUUGCUCUUCACUGGGUCAGCAUCCCUGCGCUGUCUGGAGAGUCUUUGCUCUUCACCCGGUCAGCAUCCCUGCGCUGUCUGGAGAGUCUUUGCUCUUCACCCGGUCAGCAUCCCUGCGCUGUCUGGAGAGUCUUUGCUCUUCACCGGGUCAGCAUCCCUGCGCUGUCUGGAGAGUCUUUGCUCUUCCCCCGGGUCAGCAUCCCUGCGCUGUCUGGAGAGUCUUUGCUCUUCACCCGGUCAGCAUCCCUACGCUGUCUGGAGAGUCUUUGCUCUUCCCCCGGGUCAGCAUCCCUGCGCUGUCUGGAGAGUCUUUGCUCUUCCCCCAGGUCAGCAUCCCUGCGCUGUCUGGAGAGUCUUUGCUCUUCCCCCAGGUCAGCAUCCCUGCGCUGUCUGGAGAGUCUUUGCUUUUCAGCAGCACUUAAUUACAUGUAUUUUUGUUGUUGCCAUAUCUAAAAGAAAGCCAUAUUAUGUUACAAAUUACAAUAUUGAAACAGUACAAAACCUUAACGUUGAUAUAAAAAAGUUAGCAGUGUUAUUGAUUGUCAAUGGUGUUAACAGCAGGAACAGUAACGCCAGUGACAAAUCUGAUGACAAGAUGGCAUAUCUAUAAAUGGUGGCCACAGUAGCUCAAACCACAAUUCUUAAAAUUGUAUAUAAUUUGCUUAAUAAUGUGAUUUGAUCAAUUAUAUCAAUAUUAUUUCCUUUCCCUAUACUAUAAACUGUGUAACACCAGUGACAGGUUUUAAAACUGCGCAUUCCAUUACCAAAUUAAUCAUAAAAUUGCUAUAAUACAUGAGUGCAGACUCACCAUUCGCGCUUCAAAACAGCCCAACCUCCAAUUAACCUUUGACCCAGACGUUGGCAAGGAUGGUGCUGUUUUUUUAUUAUUAUAACAAUUGACACAAAUGCAUUUGGUCCAGAAGCAGAAUAAAGAAGCCUAACGUUACUCCUUCUAGUCCAAAAGGCCCUUGGAGGUUGCGUUUCACUAGCCAAUCUGGAGGAGUAUGAUAAUGUUUAUAUACAUCAUUGGUUACUCCUUCUAGUCCAAAAGGUCCUUGAACAUGUUCUGUUUUUAAAGGUGAAUUGGCUCUAGAAGCCAAAACAGCCAAAUGCUCCAUCCUAAACGUCAAUCGAUUGUCAAUUGUGGUACGGUUCUAGAAACAAUAAAUCACUCUACUUUCAUAUCACAUUAAAAUAAUUUCACAAAUGCAAAUUACACACUUAUGUGCAGUGUUUUAACAGGUUAACACAGUAUUUUUCAGUAAAAACAUGUUUACUGCGUCUGUCUUCCGUUUAUAGACGGGUGUUCAGAGACGCAGAUAGCUAAUUAGCACAGAUUGUCCACUCUGUCUUCCGUCUGUUUUCCAUAAACAAUGAGCUGUAACAUGGAGUUGUGGCCCGUGUGGGAACCCUAACCCUAUAAAAGGUGUGUAGUAAUUUCACCCUUUUUGUUUUCUGAAAACGAUUUCUCACGGAUAUGAAAGAUACGCACCAAAACCGUACCGCAAGCGAUGUACGUUGAUGUUCAGACCGAAUGUCUGGGCUCUUAAUUUAUUUGUAUUUUAUGUAUGGAACCUUUAUGUAACUAGACAAGACAGUUAAAAACAAAUUCUUAUUUACAACGGACGGCCAAACCCGGACGACGCUCUAUGGGACUCCCAAUCACGGCCGGAUGUGAUACAGCCUGGAUUCGCACCAGGGACUGUAGUGACGCCUCUUGCACUGAGAUGCAGUGCCUUAGACCCGGCUGAGCCACUCGGGAGCCCCAAUGUAAUGGAACGGAGAGUCAUGUUCAAGGCUAGACCAGAAGAAGAAUGUGUAUUGUGACAAAGACGAGUAGUUACACAGCCGUGUAAAUAUGACACACAAACAAGUUGUCGUCAACACGAGUCCAGUGCAGUCAACAGCAUUCAGGUCAAUAGACAUUUAUUAUACAUACAACACACAUUGCUUUAUACAUAAAUGUGCAGUUUUAGCGGUGCACUUAAAAUGAUGGAACCUUAGUUACUAAUAUAUGAAUUGUAGUUUUCAUUUUUCUUUAUAUAGUAUUAUGAUCAACAACACAGAUGACUCUCGACUAUGGGUUAUAAAAGGGACACCAACCCACACACACACACAAACGGAAAAAAAGAGUCACUUUUGUUUCCUAUAAAAUAUCAUCUUGAACAGAACAUGACGCUAAGCGUUAGUAGCUAGCCUCCUAGAAUGAUUAAUGCCAUUGGCUAUACUGCACACCACUGAUUAAAAGCAUAACAAGAAAUGCAUUUAAGGUGGUUCUAUCGUCUUCCUCCGGCGACCAAUGACAGGGACGUGGUAGAAGUGUUGAUAAUGCUACUUUUACUGCCUCGGUGUGUUUUUUUUUUUUAAGGAGUGACGUUUCAAUCCAGAGAUUUUUGGAUUGCGAAUGAAGAACACGGUUAUUUGUUUCCAUGGUGUGGAUAAAAGCAACAACAGAGAAGCAUCAGUUAGCUGGUUCCUUUAGGACUGGUUUCCUGGACAAAAGAUUAAGUCUAAUCCAGGAUUUAGAAACUACUUCACCAUCGAGUAGGUUUAAAAAAUAAAUAAUAAUUAAAUCCAGAACAAGGGUUUGUCUGUGUCUGGGAAACUGGACCUUAGACCCUAGACUCUGAACCUCUGGGUACACACCCUAAGUAGGGUUGCAAAAUUCCUGCAACUUUUCCCAAAUUCCAAGAUCUUCCAGAAAUCCCGGGUCGGAGGAUUCCGGAUUUCAUGUUAACUCACUCCUGAGUCUUUCAACCAGGAUUUCUGGAAAAGCUGGAGACUUCGGGAAAGCUACCAGACUUUGCAACCCUAACCCCCAUACCCUCUCCACUAAACUGGUGGUGGAGCACAACCAUUUUUAACAGAGUUUUUUGGGGAAAAUAACAUCAUCAUCCAACAGUUGUCUUGAGAGGGGAAAAACCUCUCCUCUUCUAGCUAGCCACAAUAUGUCCCUCUCACCAACAAACCAUUUACAUGUCAGAGCCAUUGUUGGAGACACUGGUGUAAAACACUAGAGCAGCAGCGUCGUCCAUUUUGGCUCCUGUAGUGCACUCCACCCUAUACUGAAUAAGCAGUGAGGAGUGGAAACUGGGUUCCGCGUUGGCUCCUGUAGUGCACUCCACCCUAUACUGAAUAAGCAGUGAGGAGUGGAAACUGGGUUCCGCGUUGGCUCCCGCAGUGUGUUUUUAGAGAAAGACCAACGUAGAUAGUAGG
rnacentral:lncRNA from 13 species